GCGGGGGUGAAGAAAAGUCCUUUGUAAGUCCAGCAAGCUGGGUGCUAGGGCUCCCUCAGGAACACAAAGCUGACAGGUAACAGUGGCAUGAGAACAAUUAUGAAAGAUCUAUU